rnacentral:rRNA from 1 species
AUGGGUUUCUCGUCCCUGACAGAGCUAAUCAUUCAUCGGUGCGACCAUUUAUCAAGUCUCGAACAGUUUCUACAUCCGACUUAUCUACCAGUCAUCAGGAAAAUUGCAAUAACGAAUUGCGAGAACUUAAUAUCAGUACCCACCGAAAAAUUCAACGAAUUUUGUUGCAUUGAAAUAUUCAAGGUGGCGGCAUGUGGGAAAAUAAACUCCCAAAGUUUGGCUGCACGUUCUCUCAAGAAGCUCGAGCUAGGUAGCGAGGGAAAUGAUUGCGGGAAUCUCACUGCAGCCAAUAUCCAAUGCUUCUCUCUCACCUACUUUUCCUUGUCAUGCCAGCGUCUCACAUCCAUCCAACUACAAAUGUGGAAUCUUCCAGCUCUACAGGAACUGCGCAUUUUGGAUUGUGUAUUUCUUACAUCUAUUGGACAACCAGGACAUGUCUUCACCAACCUUACUUCCCUAACCAUCAGUGACUGCUGUCAACUGUCAACCAUUGAUGGUCUCCUAGGAGAAGAAUAUCUACCUGCCAUUGAGAGUAUUACAAUUAUCUGCUGUGAAAAGUUGUCGACCAUGACCAUGCAUGGCAGAAGGUAUGGGAGUUUCUCUUCUCUUAAGAAUUUGGAAGUUACUCAGUGCCCUAUAAUCAACUGGGGGGGAUUUGUAUUACCAUCGUCCCUCCAAAGUCUCCACUUACAAGCAUGUGGGGAUAUUUCUUCACUUAUCCCCAGCGGCCUAGAAAACCUGCAGUCCCUUGUUUCACUAAGAUUAUUGGACUGUCGGCAUAAGAUAUCCAUUCCAGACCACCUUUGGAGCAGUACCCUCUCAUCACUUGAGGAAUUAGAGCUUCGGGAUUGUCCAGAGCUUGUGUCCGUUGGUGGAGCAGAUGCCAUUUCAGAAAUACCAAAUGUGUGGAUUAAGACCUGUAGAAAAUUGAAGGGGAUAAAACAGCCCGUGAAAAGAGGCAGCUUCUUGUGGUAG